CUGUGCCACCUCCCCAUGCGGGCUCAAGCCAAGGGCUGGCUCACUCCAAUCCCAACCACCCAUAGAGCGCUGGGGUAAUGAGCCUUAAUGACCUCGUUAUGUGGUGGGAGAAUUAAUCUUCAUGUGGCACUUGGAGGUGUUAAUUGCUGUUAGAGCUGCUGGAAGAAGCUGCGUCAUCAGGACGGUACUCGGCAAGGCUGGUGGUUUGUGUCUGUCACCGCUGCUGCUGCCUGGCACCUCCUGACAAGCUGAGGGAUCUCCUUAAUUAAUGAGCCCUCUCCCAUCAGCAGGAAUGAACUGAGCGGGCAUUUCCCAGCAGAACAUCAAAGGAACGGGUCACUGCGAGUCGUGUGGCUGCUUUCAAUAAGUGCAAGGAUGAUGGUUACUCAGAGAUGGCCCCAUCUCCUGCAUCCUGAGAGAGUUUGCAGCCACCAAGGAGCCUUCCUCAUCUGGAAGUGGAGGCCACCUGAGCUUUGAAGGUGGGAGAGGCCGCGUUAUCCAGGUCCCCCUGGAUGGAACACCUCAGGAUGGCGUUUCCCCACGUCAGAGAGGAGGGUUUGCCCAGUAAUCCAGAAACUCCUGCUUUGAUGUGCAGUAUCUGGGUGACCAGGGAAAAGAAAAUGCCAAGCUUGCUCCGAGCAAGCAAGGACAUGCUGGGAUGUGAUGUGGGCACGGCUCUGCUGCUCAGCUCGGCUCUCCUGACGCACGCAAGAGGAGCUGUUUGCUCUCUCCACCUUUGUGGUUUACACCAGCCACCGGCGGAGCUGGUGACUGUCACCAGCUGAGGUUUUGGGACGGGGAAAUCUAAUAAGGAGCUCCCACAGGAGCUGGAUCUCAAAAGAGCCACUCCAGUGUGGGGGAGCUGCUCAUCUGCAUCCCAUCCCAUGCUGAACACGAGGGGGGUGCCUGCUCCUGCUCCCCCCCACUGCUGCUUGAAAUGCAGAAUUAAGAUGUGCAGAAAUAAAUACAUAAAUAAGGGAGAUCUCUCUUAUUUCUGUAUUUUUUUUUCCGGCAUAAUCAUCAUUUCUGUGCCACUUAACCAGCCAACUUGGACAUUAACGAUAUGAGAUCAUCACCCCUAUUAAUAAUCUGCCUGUCCCGUUCCCCCCCCCAUAGCUGGGUCUGUGUUAAUAAACCACGAGGACGAGUGUGGUCCCUCCAUCCUUCUGGCUAUCAAGCAGGGGUGCCCGAGGGAAAGCUGGAAUCUCCUGGCCAGAGGAGGAGGAGGUCAGCUUCCCCUGUGCCCUUCGUCGGCCAAGAGGAGGGAGAGGUGGGAGAAGCCCAAGGUGAUGGAUGAAGGGGUGGGGGGAGUCCUGGACCACCCCCCAGGAAAGGUGUGCGGAUGGGAUUUGUUGC